rnacentral:tRNA from 1 species
GGGGGUGGUGCUCAGUAGGAGAGCUCUUGCCUCACGAGCGAGAAGCCCUGGGUCCUAUCCCCAGCACCACAA